UUUUUGAAGGCUUGAGAACUGUAUUGUAUGGAUAAUUCUGAUGUACCUAGAACCAAAGACCUUCCAGUUAUGCCCUUCUUGAUAUCCCGAUCCCCGGUAAGAUAUUUGCUUUUUGAGGACCUGGAAACUAUAUUGUUUAACAUGAAUUUAUAAAUCGGCUACAGGAAGCAUACCCACUGAAUCGUUGUCCGGCAAAGCUUCUACGAACAUCAUCUGCAAAUUGUUCCAUCGCCGAUUUGUAUUUGCUUUUGCCGCAUCUAUCGAACCGGUAGCUUUUGCAGAGACUUCACCCAAAUUUCAUCUACCCACACCGCCGGUAAUCAUCAUCGUCAUACAUCGUUGGGUAUGUGUUGUUGUGACAAGCCGAUAGCGGCGUAUGACGAUGGAGGCUUCUGAUCGUCAUUAUAGUGGUGGGUGUGUACAACUGUCGUGGUCGACCUACAGCCUUUUUGGUGUGGCUGCUAUGCGCCCGUCCACGGAUUGAACGUGGGCGUCAAGAAAGUGGAGCUUCUCUAUCAAAGGGUUGUGGGAACAAUGAAGAUUAAGGGUACAAAAGUCCUUACCUUUGGCAUCAAAUUUUUCUCUAAUCCAUCAUCAGAGUUGCAUAGCAAUGCAACUGGAAAAGGUAAGUUUGGAAUGGUAGAAAUGUGAAAUGGUUGUGGGUUUAGGGU